CCCGCACGGCCGCCCGCGCCGGGCCUCUCCUUCGCCUCCCCGCCGCGGCCGGCCGGGCUCCAGGCUGACAUCAGACGCUGGCCGCCAGGCCACCCUCUGAGUCAACAGUUUCCGAAGCGCAGCAGCCCGCUGCCAGGGGCGGGAGACGGCGCAGCCUCCCGGGGAGGCGCGGCUCGCAGCGCUCCGGCCGCGGCGGAGGGCGGAGGUCAAACAGGAAGGCAGGCUGUGGAGGAGCCAGGACAUCGAAGGCGGCAACUGUCUACCGGUGUUUGGUUUUCUCCUUCCCACAAACGGGCACCGCUUUGACCCGUUCAUGACCCCAGGAUGAGUAAGACCGUGGGCCUCCAGCUGGAGUUCAUCCUGGGCCCCUUUCCUGGAUUUGACUUGCUGUUCUUUCCAGAACCACCACUUAGCAAAUAAUGCCAGUCGGGGAGGGAGGUGUCUGUGUCUCGCCUUAAAGGCAGGAGCCGAACAACGUCUGGGUUUUCAGAACGGACCUGGAUCGGAUCUGCAUCGGUCCUGUCAGUAACAUUUGAGAGGGACCCUGUGAGCCCCCCAUCUAGACUCCGGCAGAAGAGAGUGCCCCUUCUGCAUUUGGGGUGCAUUCCAAGGGUGGGUGGCUCCUUUCUGCCAAUCCAGUCCAGCUGGAAAUAGCAUCACAGCAGACCUCUGGGAAGCCCUGUGCUUUUUACUUUUUCCCUGCAGAGUAGUUAAGAACGGCAGCUUUUGGGAAACCAAGCGGUCUAAUUUGCUGAUCUGGGACAAGAUGCAGAAUCCUGUGACAUCAGAGGAAGAAACAGUGGCCAAGGAUGUGGGACUCGAAAGUGGUAGUGGUCAAGGCCCUAGGCCUGUGUGGUUGCCCUUCAGGGAGUGUUGUGGGCUGGACCAGUGUGAGUUAGCUUUGCAGCUGAGGGCAGGUGCAAGAGGGGCUGCGGCUGUUGCUUACACCACAGACCCCACAGCUUGUAGCUUCCACAUUAUCCAGGCUCAGAAUCCAAGCUCUCUUGAAAAGGGUCUCUCUCACUUCUGUCUUAGGCCCAGACCAGGGGACACCUGCCUGCCCUGUGUAAAGCUGAGUUUUAAAGGCCCUGGCACCUCCACCAUGGCUCCUAAUAUGGCCGGCUUGCCCUGCUGUGUUCAGUGUUACCUUCUACCCAGAGGCCCUAAGAAACAUCUGUGCAAUUUACUCUUGCUGACCUCCUGGAGGAAGUGAGUUAGCUGUCAGCUCUGCCCCCUCUUGCCUCCACAUCUGGCCUUGGAAGCAUCCUUUGUGUCUGACAGAGCUUCCUGUUGGCUGUGGCUGCUUACCAGGCAGCCUCAUCUUGGCCUUUGACACCUCCAACUCUUCCUUGUCUGGUCAAAUAGCCAGCAUUCUCCACUUCUUGAGGGGCCCCAGCAGCCAAUCAGAUGGGAGAGUCUCGGCACCUUCUUUUCAUAGCUGGAACCAGGGCAGGGAGCCAGUGCUGUGUAGCUGCACCUCACCGAAACAGUCCAGUCGUUCAGGAGCAGAGGUGGGCCUCACUCAUCUGAGCUCCUCACUGGCCUUGGCAAAGGUCAGGUGUAAGUCUACAUCUCGAGCAUCGAGACAGGGGCUGCUUCCCAUCACAAAAUUUUCCCUGAAGAUCUUUAUAAGAUUCCUGGGGCUAGGUUGUAGCUUGGGAAAUCAUGUGCUUAGCAUGUACAAGACCUUAGUGCCCUAGCAUCACGUAAAAACAAUAAUAAAUGAAGUAAAUGCGA